CACGUAGGGGGCGAGCGUUGUCCGGAUUUAUUGGGCGUAAAGAGCUCGUAGGCGGCUCAGUAAGUCAGGUGUGAAAACUCCAGGCUCAACCUGGAGACGCCACCUGAUACUGCUGUGGCUAGAGUCCGGUAGGGGAGCAUGGAAUUCCUGGUGUAGCGGUGAAAUGCGCAGAUAUCAGGAAGAACACCCGUGGCGAAGGCGGCUCUCUGGUACGUGACUGACGCUGAGACGCGAAAGCGUGGGGAGCAAACAGG
rnacentral:rRNA from 1 species